rnacentral:rRNA from 1 species
AUUCGCCUACGGGGCGCAGCAGUGAGGAAUAUUGGUCAAUGGACGCAAGUCUGAACCAGCCAUGCCGCGUGCAGGAUGACGGCUCUAUGAGUUGUAAACUGCUUAUGUACGAGGGUAAACCCCGAUACGUGUAUCGGGUUGAAAGUAUCGUACGAAUAAGGAUCGGCUAACUCCGUGCCAGCAGCCGCGGUAAUACGGAGGAUCCGAGCGUUAUCCGGAUUUAUUGGGUUUAAAGGGUGCGUAGGCGGGACGGUAAGUCAGCGGUAAAAAUGCGGAGCUCAACUCCGUCGAGCCGUUGAAACUGC